rnacentral:rRNA from 1 species
UACAGAGGGGGCAAGCGUUGUUCGGAAUUACUGGGCGUAAAGGGCGCGUAGGCGGUCUUGCAAGUCCCGUGUGAAAUCCCUCGGCUCAACCGGGGAACUGCGUCUGAGACUGGAAGGCUUGAAUCCGGGAGAGGGAUGUGGAAUUCCAGGUGUAGCGGUGAAAUGCGUAGAUAUCUGGAGGAACACCGGUGGCGAAGGCGGCAGCCUGGACCGGUAUUGACGCUGAGGCGCGAAGGCCAGGGGAGCAAACGGG